UCAACAAUAACAAGUCGAUGGCUGAAAGCCGAUAAUAUGUGGUUGUGUUGGAUAACAUUAAUUUUGCAUCUUUUCUUUUACAUAAUUUUAUGCGAAAAAGAUAAAGACAUCAAUUACAAAAUACUCCGAUAUGAAUUUGGUAAUGCUUCAGCAACCGAAGUUCUUUCAAUGGUGCUUGUGGAUACAAUUCCUCCUUUUGAACCAAUUUACCGCGUUAAUUUGAUGCCUCAAAAUGUAGCAACAAUACAUAAAAAAAUUACGCAUUUCUAUGUGGAAUACAUCAGUAUUAUAUCAAAAGUUAACAUCGUUUACAAUCAAAACACUUCUAUUUUGGAAUUUCAAAUUAAAUUUCCAUUUUAUAAGAUACCAUUUGGAGUUAUUGGUUUUUCAGCAGCAACACCGACAUUAGAAUGGCCCAAUUGGCCCACAAAGCGUUGAAAGUGUUGAGUUUAAAUAAAAUUUACCGUACCGUAUGCUAGUAGUGUA